rnacentral:lncRNA from 1 species
AAUAGAACCAUAAUUUUUAUUAUAGCAAGAAUAUUACCAUGUCUUUACAAGUAUCCAAUAAAAAGAAAAUUGCACAGAAAUAAAACAAAAUCCUAUAACUAAUCUUCUACUCCCUCGGUCCAAGAAUACCUCUCGCAAGGGGAGGAAAUUUUGAACUGAAGUGCAUUUUACAUUACAACCUGUCAUAUUUCAAAUCAAAAUCAAUCGAGUCCACGUCCGAUCGGCAGCAGCGCCUCGUCCUGGCAUUGAGGAGAGCCAGAACUCAUCUCUUCGGUAGCUCGUCACCACCCUCCCGGCAGCCUCCGACAUCACGUACCCACCCUCCCAGCGUCGAUCAACUGCUUUGAGGUAGCAGAUUCCUCCUCUGUGUCUGCUCCUGCAAUUAACACUUUGAAUGCAAUUAACAAUUUGAAUGUUAACAUGGGGCAAAGAUAAGAUGGAUCAGUAUAUAACAAUGGAGUACAUGCACAAUUAGAUGUUCAAGCUGUUUAAUGUCACUCCCAUCAUCACAAUUUCAUCUCAGGAAAUGGAGUAGAAUAGAUUUAAUUGGAUGUUUGAAUGAUAUGGUUACUUACAAGUGUCAGGGCUAUUACGGUCAGUUAAGUAAUUGCACCAGAUUAAAGAGGAGCCAAAGAAUUUACAAGUGGUCUAGUGCAUAUGCAAGUGCAAGUUACUCAGUUAAAAUUCAGUACUCCAUUGCCCAAAAUAAUUCAGUUAAAAUUUUGUUAAAAGAUCACUGAAUUAACCAAGUACUCCAGGUCAGGUCCAGUUACUCAAUGCAUAAUUGCUAAACCUAUCAUCAAUGGAAGGUCACCAAUUUUAAUUGAGCAGUAGCUAAUUGAGCAAACACACUGAGCUUAUGCAUAACACAUUAGCUGCAGCGGUGAUUAUUUCACAGGGAUAAACCUCCAAAUAUAACCACUAUACCACACUAUAUAAAUUGUGAAUCAAGGAACUGCUGCAAUUGACAUGAGAAGAUCAACAAUAUAUGCUCACCUCCAGGAACAAAGUCAGCUCCAUAUAUAUGCUAGCUCCAGGGUAAAUAUGCCACAAUAUCACACCUUGUGAAAAGAGCAUCUUAUUAAACAGUCGGUCACAAACAUUCUAAUUUCUUAACAUAAUUACAGUAAGUUACUUACUUGCGGUAUACACAGGGGAUAAUUAUCAUAUUAAUUACCUUGUUUGAGGUAAAUUAAUUGCUAAAGUUAACAUAAAAAAUGAAAAUUAGAUGAACUGUAAACUGUUCAAGGAAACAGAAAGUGCAAACCGAAUAACAAACAAAAAUAGCAAGAUUAGCCUCUUGUUUACCAUUAAGUUUGGACUUUGGACAAAACGUGUUUUGAUUGAUCAUACAGUAGAUUUACGGGGCAUCUCGCUGAAGGACGGGUCCUUGGCGAUUUGCUCCGCCAUCUCCUUGAUGCUCGGGUCCUGCGCCCAUGCCACAACAAAAUCCACGAUUCAAGUUAAUUUUCACACAAAUUCCCAUGAAAUCGAAAUAUGUUCACAGGAAAUUCGAGCUUGUAUAAAUAGAUCUUCCCAAGAACUCAACUUUGACAAUGGAGAGAACAGAGCAGAGUAUUUCUAGUUUUGCAGAAACUGUAAAAUGCUUCAGUAGAGCUUGGUUACAUUGAGCAAGUUCGAAUAUGUUAAAAUGGACGCGAAUAUCUUUAGUGAAACCCAACCAAAUUAACAACCGAUUCAAACCUGUAGUAUAUGUAAAAUCCUCCAAGAACUCGCGUUUGGAAAUGAACAGAACAAAACAGAGUAUGAAACUG